rnacentral:rRNA from 1 species
UGGGGAAUAUUGGACAAUGGGCGGAAGCCUGAUCCAGCAAUGUCGCGUGUGUGAAGAAGGCCUUCGGGUUGUAAAGCACUUUCAGCGGGGAAGAAAAGUCUAAGGUUAAUACCCUUAGGCCCUGACAUUACCCGCAGAAGAAGCACUGGCUAACUCUGUGCCAGCAGCCGCGGUAAUACAGAGAGUGCGAGCGUUAAUCGGAAUUACUGGGCGUAAAGCGCGUGUAGGUGGAUAUUUAAGUCGGAUGUGAAAGCCCCGAGCUCAACUUGGGAACUGCAUCCGAUACUGGAUAUCUAGAGUAUGGUAGAGGGAAGUGGAAUUUCCGGUGUAGCGGUGAAAUGCGUAGAUAUCGGAAGGAACAUCAGUGGCGAAGGCGACUUCCUGGACCAAUACUGACACUGAGACGCGAAAGCGUGGGGAGCAAACAGG